CCUUCUUUUUGUACCAAAUUUAUAUAUUUUCUUUCUUCCUUUUUUAUUUACUUGUAUCAUUUUAAUCUAUACUUUGGUACUUCAGCUUUUCUCCUCUAAAAAAUAAGAAAUUUCUCCUCUAAGAAAUAAGUUUCAAUGUUUUCCUUGUCUUAAGCUUUGAAAAAAGACCUGACUGUUGAAACUCUAUGCUGAGAAAAAUGCCUUCGGACACUGUGUUCCAACACAGGUGUCCCAUGUCUACAAAAUCCCAUAAAGACAACUAGCAUUGAGAUCCAAUGCUUUCAGGCAGACCUGAGGUUGAUCUUCCCUUCACACUGUGUUAUUAGGACUUGCUUCCUGCCAUGCUGCACAUGAGACAAACUCCUCUGAUGAAAGUCAGGGAUAUAACUUCAGCCCUGAGACUUCACUGAAGAGCCAUGAGGGUGAAGAGAAAAGCAGAGAGAUGGUUCGAAUGGGAUUGUAACUAUUUUGAUA
rnacentral:lncRNA from 1 species